GUACUUGCUUCGGCAGUACAUAUACUAAAAUUGGAACGAUACAAAGAAGAUUAUCAUGGCGCCUGCGUAAAAUGACACAUAAUAUGCACAUACAUGCAUUCAUAUGU
rnacentral:snRNA from 1 species